rnacentral:rRNA from 1 species
AUGCAAGAUUUAGGAGAGGAUUUGAGAGGGGGAGAGAGUGGGAGAGGGGGCAAAGCUCGGGCUAGGCGCUGUGGGGGGUGGGGUGGGGGGUGGGGUGGGGGAGGGGGGCCAGCCGAGUGCUCGGAGGCGUCACACAGCUGGGGGCGGGCCCAGGGGCUGCCACGGUGGACUCGUGUGUGGCGCCUCCGAGCUGGGCGCUGCACAUCAAAUUUGCCUGCCAACUUCAUCUGCUCACUGAGGCCCACCGACACCCAGGGCCUGCUCCCGGUUUCCCUCCCACUACCACUGAACACACUCUGGACUCUGCUCGCCCGUGUGUUCCGCGACACCAACUCCAACCCGUUCGAGUGCAGCCAGGGCGCCAACCACCCCGAGGAUCUCAACUACCCGUCCAUCUCUGUGGCCUGCCUGCCCCAUUCCGGUAGCACUGCCAUCGUGAAGCGCAGGGUCAUGAAUGUCGGCGGCAGGGCGGCAUCGUACACCGCCAGCAUCACGCAGCCGGCCGGGGUCACGGCCACUGUGAACCCCAGCACGCUGAUCUUUGAUGGUGAGAACGCAGAGGAGGAGAAACACUUCGCGGUGACACUUCAAGUCCACAACGCCGAGGAGGCUGCCGGUUACGUGUUCGGCAGUAUGGAAUGGUCAGAUGGGAACCACCACGUCAGAAGCCCCAUUGUGGACACUACCAAGUGUGUCUAG